rnacentral:rRNA from 1 species
CUACGUGCCAGCAGCCGCGGUAAUACGUAGGGCGCGAGCGUUGUCCGGAAUUAUUGGGCGUAAAGAGCUUGUAGGCGGUUGGUCGCGUCUGCUGUGAAAGGCUGGGGCUUAACCCUGGUUUUGCAGUGGGUACGGGCUAACUAGAGUGCAGUAGGGGAGACUGGAAUUCCUGGUGUAGCGGUGGAAUGCGCAGAUAUCAGGAGGAACACCGAUGGCGAAGGCAGGUCUCUGGGCUGUAACUGACGCUGAGAAGCGAAAGCAUGGGGAGCGAACAGGAUUAGAUACCCUGGUAGUCCAUGCCGUAAACGUUGGGCACUAGGUGUGGGGGACAUUCCACGUUUUCCGCGCCGUAGCUAACGCAUUAAGUGCCCCGCCUGGGGAGUACGGCCGCAAGGCUAAAACUCAAAGAAAUUGACGGGGGCCCGCACAAGCGGCGGAGCAUGCGGAUUAAUUCGAUGCAACGCGAAGAACCUUACCAAGCCUUGACAU